AUAUGUAUAAGAGUAAACUCAGUCUUACCGCUAGUACGCCUCAUUCACGAAGCCGGUCUAUAAGGUGGGUAUAAGGUUGUUGCCUAUAAAAUGGCAACUUAAUGGGUGUCCACUCUCACCCACCGCUUGCUUGACUGGUGGAGGGUCGUUAGCCGAACGGGUUUGACAGGACUAGAAUUCUCCCUUCAUUAAAAGUAUUAAUGAUAAAUACUAAGUAACUAAACUCUUAAUAAUACCCAAUCUUAGUUACUUAGGAAAAAUGUGAAUAAGGUGCUAAUCCAUGAAAUUACACUUUACACUUUGUCUAAGUCGUUAGUGGAGCGUGUGUGGUUAACCGGCACACUAACUUGGACUUAACAAGGUAGGUAAAGGGUGACUUAAUAUUUAUCAUAGUAUCGAUGGAGCGUGUGUGGUUAACCGGCACAUCGAUUGAGGGGUAAUUUAUUAAGGGUACCAAGUGAUUUGCAUGGUUACUUCACACCUUGUUUUGUGAUCCUCGGCAUCCCAGUCACAAAACCUGAAGGGCACACUCGAGAUUGAAACAUGCCUUUGAACAGUUCAAUGAAUCUCAAAGAUCUAGGAGUUUCAAAACCAAUUAAAACCUAAUAAUACAUUUCGUUUAUCUUGGUGGAAAUUGGUGAAUCGUCAUUCACCUACCUUCAAAUAUUUUAUAGCUUGGAUUACGGCAUACCUCUUCUAAGUUAUAAAAUAGUUUGUUGGGUCCUAGCCUUAAUAUUUCAUAUUGGGUGUCAUAUUAAGGACUUUAAAUCAACUAUCUUGAAUAUCUCCCAAAAGAUGUCUGUAAUAGACACCUAUGAUCUUCCCAAAUCUAGUGAAACAAGGUUUCCUAAAUGAAGAUGAUGUCCUUUGGAAAUCAUACUUCUUUCACCUCCUCCAAUUAUUCUCCCUAACCCACAAGUUCUUGAAAAGUUUAAGGUCACUCAAGCCCUAUUGGCAAGGCAAGGUCUAGGUGUGAUCACAUCUUGGAGAUGUAGUCACAUAUUGACAAGCCGGGAGAGUUGGGUGUCAAAGUCUUGAGAAAGUUGGUGGUUCAAUCACUUUCUAAGUCACAUAGUGAGUUCCUUUGGGACACCUAUGAAACAGACUAUGACAAGACCCUUAAUGAUCUUAUCUAUUUGCUAAGAUCAACUUCCUAAAACUUUAUGGACAUUGACAAUGAUGACAUUGGAUAUCCAGUAAAGCAUUCUCUUCCCAAUGGAAAGGGAUCGGCCAUAGUCAACUCGGUUGACCAAAUGGUAAAGAGAAAAGCUAAGUCUGUGAUAGUCUCGUGUACCAUUAUCAAAGGGUCCAUAUGUUUAUAUUGCCAAGGGAAGGGGCAUUGGUUGCGAAGCUGCCAAAUUUACCUAAGGAUGUUAAAGUCAAUAAGUUUGACUCUACUUCAGGUAAAGACCACUAUCUAACUCUGUUAAGUUUCUAUUCUGAGAUUCCUGAUACAUGAUGUGACUGGGUCACAUGGUGAUGUUUUAAGAAUCAAAGAAAAGUGAAGAAACUUAAAGAAAGAAUAUGCUGAAUCUGAUGGCGUAGAUGGAUUUCUAUCGCAUAGUUUGAAGAUCGGAUUCUUGAGCAACUUCUUAGGAGUUAUGAGAUAUUGCUUAGGAAUAGAUAACAACAAGUUUUCAUAUGGAUUGUAAGGAUAAGUUUUUCCGCAAAGUUUUAAAAUAAAAGAAAAUUUUUGAUUUUAUUUAUUUUAAAAUAUCCUUACAAUGGCAUUUGAGGAAAAAUUGUUGCUUAUAUGAUUCCAUUAAGAGCAAGAGUGGAAAUAUGAAAUUGAUUCUUUCAUUUGUGGUAAUGUCUAGAUUUACCAAAUAAGGAAAGAUUCUCAUCACCCAAGUUUCAAUUGGACCGGAACUUGGAAUCAUGCAAGUUGUAUAGCAUGAUGAAUGAGAACUUUCAAGUUUUGGAAAAUUAAGACUAAUUACUCGGCCACAUGGAUGUGUGAGUCAAGUAAAGGACUAAGGGAUCGAGUACACAUUCUUGUGCACUGAUUAAGUCCACCACAAAAGAUUGAUAAGACUAUUCGUCAUAGUUUACUAAAGCUCAGUAAAUAUGAUUAUACUUACAAGCUUAAGUGUAACUCUGAGACAUUGGAAAAGGUUCCAAUGUAUGGCAGGGCGAAUAAGAAGAAUCAAAUUAGGCAGAAGGAUAAAAGUUUCUCAAAUCUGAAAAGAUGGGAGAGUACUUUAGUAUCAGUUUUGUGAUCAUCUUAAUGAUUAAGAAACCAUAUCAAAAUUAGUUCUCUAAGGAAAUCUUAGUGCAUUCUUAUGACUAAGAAGAGGAACUUGAAUUGUUGAAAUGGUUAAAUCAAGAAGAUGAGUCAUACUUCGUUCCAAUACAAGUCUUAGAGUCAUACUCCAAGAUUGUAACUUGAGUGACAUGUCUUAAAGAAGGUUUAAAACACUUGUCAAAUGUAAGAGUAAAAGUUUUCUACUCUUGUACAUUUGAAAUUGGUAAGUUGUGAUGUUUUGGAUAAAACAAAGACCAACUUAGGCCAAUUGUGUGAAGUGUUUGUCUUGAUUAGAAUCCACACUAUCUCUUGGAUAUUUGACAAGGGAGUCUUAUAGGUCAAGAGGUCAGUGGGAGUCUUAAAAGUCUUGAAAGUCUCAAGAACUAAUCAAGAAUAAAACCUAAAGUUCUUCACUAGCACACAACUUGAGGUUCAUAACCUAUCGUGUUGACAUAUUCUGUGCCCAUUCCAGUUAAAGUUGGUUUUGCAUAUGAGUUCUUAGAGUUCUCAAUUUGUUGCACAACAACUUGGAAGCAAUGGUAGGCCCUUGAGCUGCCAGGUGGCAAGAAAUUAAGAUUGAGUUCAGUCCAUAUGAGUUUGGAUUUGUCAUUAUCCUUGUCUUGUGACUAUGGUUUUGACAAUUCACAUGGAUAAGAACACAUACACCAUUAAAUCUAAGUGUCAUAAGGUUUCUCUCCGAUUCAUGAAAAUGAUGGUGAGGAAACACUUUCACUAAGUAGAUUUUAGCUAGAUAGCAAUUGUGAUAUUUGCAUUCUCAAAGUCGUUAGUGGAGCGCGUGUGGUUAACCGGCACACUAAUUUGGACUUGUGAGAAGUGGCAAAAAGGUCUAAACAUUAUGAUUACGGCAUCCCUCUUCAUAAUUGUUUAGAUACACAAGUGUGCUAUCUAAGGGAAGGUGUAUGAUUUUGAUACAGCUUUAUCAAAACAAUCUAGCAUCAGAAAUCUGAACUUUGGUAAGAAAGUCAAUGAAGUAUUGAUUUCUAGAAGUCCAGCUGAUUUCUGAGUACAUGUCAAAGCUAGUGGGAGCAUAAGUGUUAUGCUAAUAAUCAUCAUGUUAGUGGGAGCAUGAUAAUUAUGAUAAGUAUUGCAAGUUAGCAAUGUUAAUUAUAGAAAACAAAAGUUUCAAUUGGGAAAAAGUUGUUUUGCUAUAAUUAAGGGAGAGGAAAUUAUGCUUCAUCUCAAAUCUAUAAGCUUAGAUCGUGAGGUUUUAAUCAUUUAGUCAAGGAUAUAUAUGAAUUUCAUGUUGGAAUGGCUCAACAUAAGGAAAUUCUGUAUAUGGGUCCAUUAUUUGCGUUCUAAAAUUCGAUUAUGAUUACGGCAUCCCUUUUCAUAAUCUGAAUUAUGAGAACUUGGCAAAUUGAAAUGGAAAUAUUAUAGCAAAAGACUGGUUUAGUCUUUAUGUAAGACAUCAUGAAUCGUGUCCCAUAUGCUUCGGAUAUAGGAUCGAUUACAUGUGCUAUAUUCAUCCGUUCUAAAAUUUUCCAAAUGCCUGGGGCAUUAAGAAGGGAAAAGGUUUAGAACUGGAUAUGACUAAAAGGAUUAAACAAUUGUCGAGGACAAUCUAAGGUUUACCAAAGAUUGGUUGCUCAAGGACAGUUGGAAGUAUAGUGAUAAUUCUGGAAGGACCAUAUUGACAUAAUCUGUAAGGAGGCAACUCUUGUUCAGAAGUGAUAGUCAAAAUGGAAUCUGGAAAUGUUUCAAAGUUAGAAUUUUCAAUCUGUUUAAGAUUAGGAAACUUAAUGCAAGAAGGAUGUUUCCAAGGAGCUGAUCUCCUUUGGAAUACUCUGUAAUGAUUGUUGUCAAGUCUUUCUGACUUUGUGCAUAAUCAUUACAAGAGGAUCAAUGCAUAUAAGUUUAGAAUCUAACAGAUUUCAGUAAAUGGCAUGAAUUUGGAAUUCUUGCAUUUGCAGUAAGGAUUUGGGAGUGUGAAAAGAGAAUCAUUGAAGUUAUGUUCAAUUGAUCUAGUUCACAAAGUAAAGAUCAUAGACAAACAUAGUAUGCAUACUUGGUGUGUGGCAUGACUAGUGUUUAAGAAAACAUAGUGUACAUGCUUGGAGCAUGGGACAACUAUUGUUUUAAAUUCAAGAAUAAAGUUGAUAGCUGAAACAGUAUACAAUGAAUAAUGUGUAAUCAUAUGGUGAUAAAUAAAAGGUGUUUUAUUUAUGUUCAAAGUUUUGAUACCAUAUUGGAUUCAAUUAUUAUUGUGUUUCACUUUGCAUGUUUUGACUUCCCGAAUAAACUAGGUUAUUCUUCCGGAAUGACUAAGUUAUUCAAACCAUCCACAGUCGGUCAUAUGUUGGAAGUAGAUAUGAAUUAAGACUGUCAUGGGUUGGCUUGUAGAGGUCUAAGGUGUUGGACAAAGGGCUACAACACUCAUGAGUGCUCAUAAGUUCUGAGUAUUGGAUUCAACCCGCGCUCAUUGGAAUCACUUCAUGGAUUUUAUCACGAGUGAUCAUGAGACGAUAAUAUCUUAUAUUCUUCAAACCUAGAGAUAUGAGUUGUUACUAUGAGUUGAUAGUACAUUGAUUGCACGAAAACGCAUUUGGUAACUCGGUGCUAUAAAACGUGCCUUUGUGUAUGAUUCAACAAGUAGUAGAACAAGCCAUAUGAGUCGAAGUUUAUCCAUUCCUUUUACCUUCGGGAUAAAAGCGAUAUCUGUGGGCCCCUCGAUGAUUUGAUGAUGACAAAUGGAAGUGCUCGGCCGGGCCAGGACUGAUUUGAUUUGUUCAAUUAGUCAGUCGUCAUAAAUCGGAAAUCGGGAAACAACAAAUGGACAGAGAGAAUGAUUAUAAUCCAUGUCUCAGUCCAUAUGAUAUCUAGAAUGGAGGAAUAUAUGAUCCCUUAUCUAAUGGACAAGUCAUUGACAAAGGUCAGAGUUCAUCUACAAGGUCAGAGUUCGACAGAAGCUUUUGAGAGCUACGAUUGCCAGUUGGUUCCUAAAGUCAUACGCAAUAUUAGUUUUAGACUUAUCCAAGUGGGAGACUGUUGGAUUAAUGUCUAAGUCCAUAACUAUAAUUGGUAAGACUUGACCCGACCCGGCAUGGUCCAUUUGGGUUGCAUGGCAUCAUGCACUUGGAUAGACUAUAAUGAGAGAAAUAAGACACUUAUGGUUAUUAAUAUAUUAUAAGUUCUAGUAUAUUAAUAAUAAGAAUAAUAAGAUUAUUUAAUUAGUAUUGAUCAAGAAUUAAUCUAGGAUUAAUUAAGUGAUCAAAAGAAGACUAAUUAAAUAUAUGGGUUGAUUGUGUAAAUCAUCCAUACUUGUAUAGUGGGCUAAUGCUCCAUGGAUAAUCAAAUUGGGCUAAAACCCAUAGGAUGGUCCAUGGAUGCUCCAUGGUGUAUUUGAACCCAUGGAUCCAAGGAAAUGGAAAGUCAUGACAAUUAGGGUAUUACCCUAAUUGUAACACUAUAUAAAGAUCUUAUUCUUGACAAAAUCGGCCACUAGUAAGGAGACUAGUAUCAUCUAGAGAGGGCUAGCCGAUUUCAUGAAGUGUAGAAUUCUCUCAAGUUAUUUCAAGUGUAUUUGGUGUUGUGUGAACCAUUUGAGGUGUCACACUUGGGGCACUAGGCACUCAAGCUUCAUGAAGACUUUCUACAUCAAAGAGGUAUGUAUUCUAUCUUGUUAUAUUCAUUGUUUUGUAUGCUAGAUUAGGAUAAUACCUUGGAAGUUCAUAUUUGCAUGUAUAAUAGAGAAAACAUAGAUCCAAGGUAUUUAGGGUUGCAUGUACACUUAGGAGUGUUAGAAUGCUCAAAACCCAACAAAGAGGAAAGUGGGAGUAUUGAGAUAGUUUCAAGAACUAAUCAAGAGUUUUGUUAAUCACUAGCCCAAGACUUGAGGUCUCUAACCUAUCAUGCUGACAUAUUCUUAUUUCUGUGUCUAUUCCAGUAAAAGUUGAAUAUGAUUGUGAGUCCUAUGAGUUAUCAAUUGUUUGCAUAACAACCCGGAAGCAAUGGUGGGCAUUGUGCUACCAGGUGGCAAGAAAUUAAGAUUGAACAAGUUCAGUCCAUUUGAAUUUGGUUUUGUCACUAACCUUGUCUUAUGAUUAUGGUUUUGACAAAUUCACAUGGAUAGGAACACUUACGCCAUAAAAUCUAAGUGUCAUAAGGUUUCUCUUCGAUUCAUGAAAAUGAUGGUUAGGAAACUCUUUCACUAAGUAGAUUUUAGGAAUAUAACAAGUGUAAUAUUUGCAUUCUCAAAGUCGUUAGUGAAGUGCGUGUGGUUAACCGACACACUAACAUAGACUUGUGAGAAAUGGAAAAGGUCUAAACAAUUGAGACUAUGAUUACGACAUCCCUUUUCAUAGUUCUAAAAUUGUUAAGACACGCAUGUAAGCUAUCUAAGGAAAGGUGUAUGAUUUUGAUAGAGUCUUAUCAAAGCAAUCACGUAUCAGAAAUCUGAACUUUUGUAAGAAAGUCAAUAUAGUAUUGAUUUCAAGAAGUCCAACUGAUUUCUGGAUACAUGUUAGAGCUAGUGGGAGCAUAAGUGUUAUGCUAAUAAUCAUCAUGUUAGUGGGAGCAUGAUUAUUAUGUUAAGUGUUGCAAGUUUGCAAUGUUAAUUAUAGAAAACAAAAGUUUCAAUUCGGGUUUGAAAAGUUGUUUUUCUAUAAUUAAGGGAGAGGAUUUUAUACUUCAUUCCAAUUCUACAAGCUUAGAUUGAGAUUUUAAUCAAUUUUAGUCAAGGAUAUAUAUAUAAAUGUUAUGUUGGAAUGGUUCAAUAUAAGGAAAUUCUAUAUAUGUUGCGUUCUCAAAAUUCGAUUAUGAUUACGACAUACCUCUUCAUAGUUCGAAUUAUGAGAACAUGGCAAAUAAAAAUUUUUAUAGCAUGAAUCGUGUCCUAUAUGCUUUGGAUAUAGGAUCGAUUGCAUGUGCUAUAAUAUUUAUCCAUUCGAUCUUCUAAUGAUCACCCACCAGGCCACCCGCAUACAUACAAACUGGAUUUUCCAUCAAGGAAGCUCUCAUGGAGCCUGAAUGGAUCACCGCAAUGCAAGAAAAACUAGCUAAGUUUGAAAGAAACAAAGUGUGGAAGCUAGUACCAAAGCCAAAAGGACACACAAUCAUUGGUACUAGAUGGGUUUACAAGAACAAGCUUGACGAAUCUGGUGCGGUGGUAAGGAACAAAGCAAGACUUGUUGCUAAGUGGUACAAUCAAUUGGAAGGCAUUGAAUACAACGAAACCUAUGCCCCUGUAGCUCGAAUGGAAGCCAUACACAUCUUCUUGGCAUAUGCGGCACACAAGAACAUCAAGGUUCAUCAAAUGGAUGUAAAAAGUGCCUUUCUCAAUGGUGAAAUUAAGGAGGAGGUUUACUUACAACAACCUCCGGGCUUCGAAUGUCAUGAAUUUCCAAAUCAUUGUUACAAGCUUGAAAAGGCGGUCUACGGUCUCAAACAAGCUCCAAGGGCAUGAUAUGAAACCCUUUUAGAGUUUGUCGUCUUGUCAAGACACAAAAGAUGUGUGAUUGAUCCCACAUUAUUUAGAAGGGCAAAUGGUAAUCAUUUAAUGCUCGUCCAAUAUGUGGAUGCUAUCAUAUUUGGUUUAACAGACUAAAAUAUGGUGGAUGACUUUGCAAAGCUCAUGAAAAACAAGUUUCAAAUGAGCAUGAACAGAGAAAUCAAUAUCUUUCUAGGUCUUUAAGUAAAGCAAGUCCCUCAAUGGAUUUUCGUCCAUCAUCAAAAAUACACCUCAGAGCUACUGAAGAAAUACUCAAUGGACAAUUGCUCCUCCGCCAAAGUUCCAAUGGCCUUUGGAUACAAGAUCUCGGUGGAUCCUACCGGAGAGUCUAUUGAUCACAAAACUUAUCGAGGAAUGAUUGGGUCUUUGAUGUACCUAACCGCAAGCAGACCAUACAUUGUCUUUGCCACAUGCUUAUGUGCUUGAUACCAGGACGACCUUAAAGUGUCUCAUUUGAUCGCAGUCAACCAAAUCUUUAGAUACCUUAAGGGUAGCAAAGCUCUAGGCCUCUGGUACCCAACAGGAAAUGAAUUCAGUCUUCAAGCCUUCACCGAUGCGGAUCAUGCCGGUUGUAGAUUAGAUCAAAAAAGUACUUCCGGUGGCUGCCAGUUUCUAGGAGGAAGAUUAGUCAGCUGGUCAUCAAGGAAACAUAAUUGUGUCUCUUUUUCUCUUGCAUAGGCAGAAUAUGUGGCCACAGCCAGCUGCUAUUAUCAAGUUCUUUGCAUGAAAACACAACUGAUAGACUAUGGGUACAGGAUGUUGCGGGUACCAAUGUAUUGUGACUCAGAGAGUUCCAUUGCAAUUUCUCACUAUCCAAUCCACCACUCAAAGAGGAAGCACAUUGAAUUGCGGUACAAUUUCAUCAAAGACCACAUACUUAAAGGUAACAUCGAACUAAUUUUUGUUCUAACACACGAGGAAAUAGUUGAUGUUUUCACAAAAGCACUUGAUGCCACUAAACUAAAUAGCUUUCUAGAAAUGUUAGGAAUGAUGAAUCCUAAGGCACAAUUCCUUUCGAAUUGAUAGCUACUGUAGUCUUGUGAAGAACCUGUUUCUUUUCUUUUCAAAAUUCUUGAAACUUUUUCUUCACUGCGGUACUAGAACAAUAUAUCCAUCAUGUGUGUACCAUGAUCACAUUUGAUCUAUAUAUAUAUUCUUCAGGUCAUUAAUUCUUGUGAUAUCUAACUGUUUAAUCAAGUGUUCUCUCAGCUCAAGCUACCACAACUAUCCAUGUCUCAACCGUAGUUUCACUUCACUACCUUCCACUGCAGUCAUCAGAAUCCAUCCGCAUUCACAUUAAAUGGUGACUUCAUAAAUUCCAUGAACUUUGUGUGCUAUUUAAUGUUCUUCAUUUAAUAAAAAUUCUUCAUUAAAUAAAAAAACAUCCUUUUGUAGCAUACAAUGUUUUAGUUGCUUUCAAAAUCACUUUUAUGUGUCGGACCUAUUUUGGGAUAUAAAACAAAUAUAAGUUUUUUCCCAUCAAAGAAAUCUUUUUCCUUAAACUGUCACAUCUCUUACCCCCCCCCCAAGCUGUCUAAUCCGGUUCAAAUUCCCUCUUUAUUCAACUAAUUAAUGGCCCCUCACCACACGUUCCUCUAACGUGUUAUAAUGGGCCUGACAGUCAUUAAAUGCCCCUUUUUUCGAAAACACAUAUUUUAUUUUGAUUUAUUUUUAUGUGUGGCUAAUAAUGGUUAAAAUCCAAGGGUUUUACCAUUAACAACUGCAAAUAAGGUAAAUUGAAUAAUCUUUGAAAUCUGGUGCUAUAUAACAUUCUGUUCCCUCCCAAAAAAGCUUUACGCUCUCUGAAACCUUACGACGAUCUUUCUCUUCCUCAUCUUCUUGCUCUCUGUUUUUCUACAUGUUCUAAAAUCUUUUCAAAAUGGUGAAAUCUGGAAUCUCCGAAAAGCAAUCCAAAGCUUCUGGGUCUGCUCGACCAACUGGUUCUGAUUUAUCAAUCAGAAAUCAAUCUCCGACGAUAGCCUUUAGCAAUUUCAAGGCGGUGUUUGAAGAUCAUCCUUCAUACAACGAGGCGAUUCGUUUGAUGAUCAAGUACCUGUCAUCUCACCCACUGUUUGGCACAUUCAACUCCUUCACCGAUGUCGUUCCCAUAUCCACUCUGUUCAAGUGUACAUUCUCCGCUUUUCACCCAAACACUAACCCUCAAGAAGUGCACUUGACCCUAAUCGAUGAUUCUUUGGUGGUCCUGACUAAAGCCAAGUUUCUUGAAGCAAUUAACCUUCGAGUUCUUCCUUCAACCAAAAUUUACUCACCAAACGUCAACGAUAUCACUUCAAUCCUAUAACAGAUGGGUUAUAAGAAGAAACUGAAAGGAAAUGGGGAACGCAAGAAAAACCAACUCCUUGCGGUAUGGCAAUACGUCUGUCACUAUUUCAUUUGGAAUCUCUCUGGCAGAAUCGGAGGCACAUACAACAUGGGACUCAAACUGCUUGAACUUGUAUGGAGCAUCUUCACAUGCAAUGCAGUCAACUAUGGCCAAAUUCUCUGGGAUGACUUCCUACAAUAUGUUCCCAAGGAGAAUCCUCGAGAAGACCCAACUAAACUCACUUUUGCACGCUUCUGGUCCCUCUGCAUCUUGGAUCUCCCCAAAGAUGCGAAACUUGACAUGGGUGCUAACGUCAAUCUCUUUGCUACCCACGAUUUAAAAAGGUACACACUCUCUAUAGAUCAAUCAAUUUUUGGACCUCUUAGGAGACUACAUGGCCACAUUCUCAAGUCUAUUGGACUGGAAACUCGAGAAGUCACUGACCAUAUUGAGGCUAUGGAUGGUAUUGACCCAUAUCAUUCCUCCUGAACUCAUCCCAGUCAGGAUGUUGUCAUUCCUACCAAAUCCUAAGGUCCAUCUGGUACCGUAAUUCCUACUACAACCUCAGUCCCUCCUACUGAAGGACCCUCUAGUCAGCCAAAACCCAAGCGCCUCAAGCAAAUACUCUUCUCUAAGAAGGCUCCCUGCAACAUAGUCAGGAAGGGUGAAAAUCCUUCGAAGAAACGCAAACACAUGGUUGUUGAAUCUUCAGCUGACACCCCUCCUUCUCCAUCCGAAACUCAUGACGAACCAGUAAAUGUUGACGAAUCCAUAAGUGAUGAAUCUGAUGAUCUCUUCAAACGCUAGAAGCUUAAGCUUACCCCUAGCCAUAGCCAAAUGCGUGACCGGACCAAUACCACAGUAUCUCAAAAGACUCUAGUAGUCCUUGGAGCCCCUGCAAGCUUAUUCACAUCUACCAUCUUCAGCUACUCACAUGCAUCAGGUGCAUCUGUUUCACUUGAACAUGGAGACAACACCCCAGUUGGAUCCCAAGAGGAUCCCAUUGGUUCAAAUCUCUCUAAGGUCUCCAAGGCAGGUCACCUUCACUAAUUUGAGCCAGAGGAGUUGCGCUCCAUCCUUCUUUCAGUCACCCAUACACUUCAAACAUAUAACCAACUGCAGGGCAAUUCUUCUGCCCUUGCCAGAACCGAACCGAGGCCACACUUCACUACGAGUCAAGGAGACUGAGGAAGCUUAGGAAAUCCUACUCCGCCACCAAUACACUCAAGUGGUUUAGGCGUGGUGAGCACAAUCGUGUUAGGAUCCACGAACCCAGGGGACACCCUGGUGCACACUCAAGGAUUUGACGGUUAUUAUUUAGAAGAUUCCUGGACUCGGUUUCAACCCAACAUUGAGUCCGAAAUCAAGAAAUAUGAAGCUUUUCGUAGGGCAUUUCAAGAACACAAGGCUUAACAUACAAAGCUGUUGGAUAUAGUGUCUAAGUCCAUAACUCUAUUUGGUAUGUACUUGACCCGACCCGGCAUGGUCCAUUUGGGUUGCACUUCACCCGAACAAUUUAUGGAUAAUCUUUUGAGAAUAGUACAAGUUAUGAUUUAUUAAUAUAUUAUAAGUUCUAAUAUAUUAAUAUAAGAUCAUAUUAUUUAAUUUGUAUUGGUCUAUAAUUAAUCCAAGAUUAAUUUAGUGAUCAAAAGUAUUACUAAUUAAAUAUAGGCUUCUACAUUUAUAUAGUGUGGGCCAAUGCUUAUUUGGAAUAGGCUAGGCUUGCAUGGAAAGUCUAUGGAUACUCCAUGGAGCUUUAACCCAUGGAUCUCAUGGAAAUGAAGAGACAUGGGUAUUAGGGUUUACAUGGAUGUAUCCCUAAUCCACAACACUAUAUAAAGGAAGCCUUGGUUCUUGAAAUCAAAAGAGUUGACACUAGUUGAAGUGAGUAAAGCAAGAGGGUCGAUUUCAAGAUAGUGGUGACUAUUCUCUCAAAGUUCCAAGUUUGUGGUGAUUUGUGAUUUCCAUUUGAGGCAUCCACACUAUUGGUGCUAGGCUCUAAAACUCCAAGGAAUCAAAUACAACUACAAGGUAAGUAUUUCUACUAGCUUUAUUUGAUUCAAGUUCCCCAUGCCAUGCUAGUUAGGAUAUGAACCUUGGAAAAAUAAUUAUUUGCAUGUAUCUUAGAUAAACAUAGAUCCAAGGUUUAUUAGGGUUGCAUGUACACUUAGGAAGUGUUAGAAUGCUCAAAACCCAUCAGUGGUAUCAGAGCCUAGGCUUGUUUGUUUGAUACUUGAUGCAAAAUAUUGGAAAAAGUCGAAAAACUUGUUGUCUGCCUGAUGAACUCGCCGAGUCCAUGGGGGGACUCGCCGAGUUCAUGUGUAUCUUCAUCCUACUCGGCGAGUAGGUUCAUGCACUCGGCGAGUAGGAGCCUCAGAAUGCAGAUUUUCGACUUUAGUUGCUGGAAAUGGACUAGAAACAUUACCCUAAACUGUUUUGGUACUUGAAAACUUGUUUUAGAUGGUGUAAUGUUUUUGCUAAUCCAUUUACAACAACUAGUUAUCAAAAUUACAAAGUUUUAAGUGUAAUUUUGAUUCAUGAAAGUGUUCAUGUUCAUGUUCUUGAUCUUAUGAUGUUUAGAUGAUCAUAGGAAUUAUUUGUAACCUAUGUGGUAGAUUAAUUCUUGAUCAUUAUGUGUUUUAAUGGAGUCCAUAACUUGUCCUCAAGUUAUGGAAAACCAAAAGUCACUUUGUUUUAAAACCAUUAAAAGAACACAUGGGUUAUAAAAAUGAAGAGUCUUCAUUUUUAAUACCCUAAUAAACUCAUAAGUUACAAGAAAUGAAAAGUUUUGAAAGUUUACAAAACUUGCCCUCAAGUUUUGGAACAAGUAAAGUCAUGUUAAAAACUUUAGUUCCAACCCUUAGAAUUUUAAAAGUUAAAAUUCAACCCUUAUACUUAUAUUAUUAUGAUUUAAUAAUUAUAUAUAUAUAUAUAAGAACAAAGUCGUCUUACCGCUAGUACGCCUCAUUCACGAAGCCGGUCUAUAAGGUGGGUAUAAGGUUGUUGCCUAUAAAAUGGCAACUUAAUGGGUGUCCACUCUCACCCACCGCUCUUGACUGGUGGAGGGUCGUUCACCGAACGGGUAAGACAAGGACUUAUAAAUUCUCACUAAAAGUAUGAUUAAUAUUAUAAAGUAGCUAAAUGUUUUAUUAAAUUCCGAAUCUUAGUUACUUUAGGAAAAAUGUGAAUAAGGUGCUAAUCCAUGAAAUUACACUUUACACUUUGUUUAAGUCGUUGGUGGAGCGUGUGUGGUUAACCGGCACACUAACUUGGACUUAACAAGGUAGGUAAAGGGUGACUUAGGGUUUAUUAUAGUAUCGAUGGAGCGUGUGUGGUUUACCGGCACAUCGAUUGAGUGAUAAACAUUAAGGGUACCAAGUGAUUUGCAUGGUUACUUCACACC
rnacentral:lncRNA from 1 species